rnacentral:rRNA from 1 species
UACGAAGGUGGCAAGCGUUGUUCGGAAUCACUGGGCGUAAAGGGCGUGUAGGCGGUUGGGUAAGUGGGAUGUGAAAUGCCUCGGCUCACCCGAGGACCGGCAUCCCAAACUGCCUGACUUGAGUAUGGGAGAGGAUGAGGGAAUUCCUGGUGUAGCGGUGAAAUGCGUAGAUAUCAGGAGGAACACCGGUGGCGAAGGCGCUCAUCUGGCCCAAUACUGACGCUGAGGCGCGAAAGCUAGGGGAGCAAACGGG